UAAAUUGAAAGAGACAGUGCAGUAAUCUCUUGGUUAACCACUUUGCCCCUGAAAGCUGAGCUGAUCCAGCCACCACCACCCUGUGCUAUGCUGUGGAAAGCAGGACGGGUGUGUGUGUGUGUGUGUGUGUGUGUGUGUGUGUGUGUGUAGGGUGCACAAACACCCUGCCAUCCUGAGACAGUUCAUCCUUCUGGAGGCAGGGACAGGGGGAGGAUACAGCAGAUGGGCAAGGUGCUGGGAGCCACACCACAGAGUGUUUGUGGCAGAAAUCAAUGGUGUUGGCUGCAGGGCGAGAACUGCAAGCAGAGCCCACGGAGAUGCAGUGACCGAGAACAUUCCUGAGGUUCUAAGGAGUCAGGAAAACAACUUGCAGAUCUGAAGAAGCUCAUGCAGGGAGCAGUGCCAUGUGAUGGACCAGGGCCAGAGCUAAAAGUGUGGCCCUAAGAAGAUAAAAGAAAAAGAAAGUGGAAAUGCUCAGCAAUGCCUUGGACGCCAGGAUGAAUUUAGGAAGAGGUCAGCUCAAAAGAGGCACAGGAGGAGGAACAAGGGGGAAGAGUGUCCAGAGAAAAAGAGGAGCCACCCCUGAGGAAGAGCCACCCCUUGCAGAGGGCCCCUCUGGGCCAGCAAGCGACUGGGAGAUUGGAGAACACAGAAAUUCAUCAAACCAAGUGUAUUCAGAAGGGCCUACCACCAACACGUGUACCCACAGGAGGUCAUACCGAGAGUCAAACAAGCCUUGUUCUCCGCAGGCAGGUGGACUCUGGCUAAGGGCAGCCCCGUGGGACCUUGCUGCCGCCCCGCGCUCCCCCAUCCCUCCGCCACCAGUGCCUCACACGCUGCUCGACCCCAUCCUCAGC
rnacentral:lncRNA from 1 species